rnacentral:rRNA from 1 species
GACGAACGCUGGCGGCGUGCUUAACACAUGCAAGUCGAACGGAAAGGCCCUGCUCUUGUUGGGUUCUCGAGUGGCGAACGGGUGAGUAACACGUGAGUAACCUGCCCUUGACUUUGGGAUAUCUUUUGGAAACUGGGGCUAUUACCGGAUAUGAUCUCUUGCACCACAGUGGGGGUUGGAAAGUUUCGGCUGUGGGGGAUGGUAUCGCGGGUUAUCGGCUUGUUGGUGGAGUAGUGGCUUACAAAGCCUUCGAAGGGUAGCCUGCCUGGGAGGGUGAACAGGCACCUGGGGACUGAGAUACGGACCAGACUGCUACGGGAGGCAGCAGUGGGGAAUAUGACACAGUGGGCGGAAGCGUGAUACAGCAACGCCGCGUGCGGGAUGACGGCCUUCGGGUUGUAAACCGAUGUCGACUGUGACGAAGCGGGAGUGACGGUAAUGGGUAAAGAAGCACCGGCUAACUACGUG